GAUGAACGCUAGCGGCAGGCUUAAUACAUGCAAGUCGAGGGGCAGCACGAAUAGCAAUAUUUGGUGGCGACCGGCGCACGGGUGCGUAACACGUAUACAAUCUACCUUCAACAGGGGGAUAGCCUUUCGAAAGAGAGAUUAAUACCCCGUAACAUAUUUAAUGGCAUCAUUGAAUAUUGAAAGCUCCGGCGGUUGAAGAUGAGUAUGCGUCUGAUUAGCUAGUUGGUGAGGUAAUGGCUCACCAAGGCUACGAUCAGUAGGGGAUCUGAGAGGACUAACCCCCCACACUGGUACUGAGACACGGACCAGACUCCUACGGGAGGCAGCAGUAAGGAAUAUUGGUCAAUGGAGGCAACUCUGAACCAGCCAUGCCGCGUGCAGGAUGAAGGCCCUAUGGGUCGUAAACUGCUUUUUAUACCGGGAGAAAACCACCGUACGUGUACGGUGUUGAUAGUAUGGU
rnacentral:rRNA from 1 species